AGAAUCAACGCUGGCGGCGUGCCUAACACGUGCAAGUCGAACGCGAAAGGGGAGCAAUCCCUGAGUAGAGUGGCAAACGGGUGAGUAACACGUGGGUGACCUGCCUUCGAGUGGGGGAUAACGUCCCGAAAGGGACGCUAAUACCGCAUGACAUCCUGUCUUUGGACAGACGGAGAUCAAAGCUGGGGAUCGCAAGACCUGACGCUUGAAGAGGGCCCGCGCCUGAUUAGCUAGUUGGUGAGGUAACGGCUCACCAAGGCUACGAUCAGUAUCCGGCCUGAGGAGGGCGGACGGACACACUGGGACUGGAGACACCGGCCCAGACUCCGUACGGGAGCAGCGAGGUGGGAAUUGUUCGCAAGUGGGCGACAAGCCUGACGACGACAACGCCGCGUGGAGGAU
rnacentral:rRNA from 1 species